rnacentral:ncRNA from 1 species
AAAACGGCUCUUUUAAGAGCCACCAAAGAUACUUAAAGAAUUAAAAG